rnacentral:rRNA from 1 species
GCAAGUCGAACGCUCCCUUCGGGGAGAGUGGCAGACGGGUGAGUAACACGUGGGAAUCUACCUAUCUCUGCGGAACAACACAUAGAAAUGUGUGCUAAUACCGCAUACGCCCUUAGGGGGAAAGAUUUAUCGGUGAUAGAUGAGCCCGCGUUUGAUUAGCUAGUUGGUGAGGUAAUGGCUCACCAAGGCGACGAUCAAUAGCUGGUCUGAGAGGAUGGCC